UUUGAGUCAUAAUUCUAACAAUCGCUACCUUUACUCAAAAUCCAUCAACUACUAUAUGUCUUGAAUUCUUGGGUGUCAUCACAUUAUCGAUUCUUCAUGCUUGAGCUUGAACCUUUAAAAUCUCUCAUUCUUCCAAAAAAUAUUCGUGUUAUUAACUAUCUAGAUUUCGCAUCAAGAGUUUCAUCUUAAUUUCAACUCUUCACCUUUACCAUUGUUGCAUGUGUAACUUUCUACAUGUCGCAGCAGCUACCUUCAACCAAACUCACCGAGAUCAUCUCCAUGCUUUGAUACUAAUUUGUUGUAUACCGCGAAAGCGUGUAAACUGCAAAGAAAUA
rnacentral:misc_RNA from 1 species